rnacentral:rRNA from 1 species
AUUGAACGCUGGCGGCAGGCCUAACACAUGCAGGUCGAGCGGAUGAAGGGAGCUUGCUCCUGGAUUCAGCGGCGGACGGGUGAGUAAUGCCUAGGAAUCUGCCUGGUAGUGGGGGAUAACGUCCGGAAACGGGCGCUAAUACCGCAUACGUCCUGAGGGAGAAAGUGGGGGAUCUUCGGACCUCACGCUAUCAGAUGGGCCUAGGUCGGAUUAGCUAGUUGGUGGGGUAAAGGCCUACCAAGGCGACGAUCCGUAACUGGUCUGAGAGGAUGAUCAGUCACACUGGAACUGAGACACGGUCCAGACUCCUACGGGAGGCAGCAGUGGGGAAUAUUGGACAAUGGGCGAAAGCCUGAUCCAGCCAUGCCGCGUGUGUGAAGAAGGUCUUCGGAUUGUAAAGCACUUUAAGUUGGGAGGAAGGGCAGUAAGUUAAUACCUUGCUGUUUUGACGUUACCAACAGAAUAAGCACCGGCUAACUUCGUG